rnacentral:hammerhead_ribozyme from 1 species
AGCCGAAACGCUCCGCUGGGGGCGUUCACCGAGGAAUGGCCUCCCGGUGCUGAAGAUGGCAGGCCAGA